UAACAGGUGACGGGGAAUCAGGGUUCGAUUCCGGAGAGGGAGCCUGAGAAACGGCUACCACAUCCAAGGAAGGCAGCAGGCACGCAAAUUACCCACUCUCAGAACGAGGAGGUAGUGACGAAAAAUAACAAUACGGGACUAUUAAUAGGCCCCGUAAUUGGAAUGAGUACAAUAUAAAUCCUUUAACGAGGAUCUAUUGGAGGGCAAGUCUGGUGCCAGCAGCCGCGGUAAUUCCAGCUCUAAUAGCGUAUAUUAAAGUUGCUGCGUUUAAAAAGCUCGUAGUUGUAUCUCAGUUCAUGUCAAUUGGUCAAUCACUUAAUAGUGAUUACUUUUUGACUGAACAUUAAACCGAUUUGUUUUCUGAUGCUCUUUACCGGGUGUU
rnacentral:rRNA from 1 species